UACGUAGGGGGCAAGCGUUGUCCGGAUUUAUUGGGCGUAAAGAGCGUGUAGGCGGCCGUACAGGUCAGCUGUGAAAACUCGAGGCUCAACCUCGAGACGUCGGUUGAAACCGUACGGCUAGAGUCCGGAAGAGGAGAGUGGAAUUCCCGGUGUAGCGGUGAAAUGCGCAGAUAUCGGGGAAGAACACCGGUGGUGUAGACGGCUUACUGGACCACGACUGACACUGAGGCACGAAAGCGUGGGUAGCAAACAGG
rnacentral:rRNA from 1 species